CCUACGGGUGGCAGCAGUGGGGAAUAUUGCACAAUGGGGGCAACCCUGAUGCAGCGACGCCGCGUGAGUGAAGAAGUAUUUCGGUUUGUAAAGCUCUAUCAGCAGGGAAGAAAGUGCCGUUAUCUAAUUAAGAAGCACUUGAUAAGUACGGCCCAGCAGCCGCGGGAAUACGUAGGGGCCAAGCAUUAUCCGGAUCUACUGGGUGUAAAGGUAGCGUAGAUUGCAGCACAAGUCUGGAGUGAAAUGCCGGGGCUUAACCCGGGAACUGCGUUGGAAACUGUGCAGCUAGAGUGCGGGAGAGGUAAGUGGAAUUCCAGGUGUAGCGGUGAAAUGCGUAGAGAUUAGGAGGAACACCAGUGGCGAAGGCG
rnacentral:rRNA from 1 species